rnacentral:rRNA from 1 species
AUUGAACGCUGGCGGCAGGCCUAACACAUGCAAGUCGAACGGUAACAGAAAACAGCUUGCUGCUUUGCUGACGAGUGGCGGACGGGUGAGUAAUGUCUGGGAAACUGCCUGAUGGAGGGGGAUAACUACUGGAAACGGUAGCUAAUACCGCAUAACGUCGCAAGACCAAAGAGGGGGACCUUCGGGCCUCUUGCCAUCGGAUGUGCCCAGAUGGGAUUAGCUUGUAGGUGGGGUAACGGCUCACCUAGGCGACGAUCCCUAGCUGGUCUGAGAGGAUGACCAGCCACACUGGAACUGAGACACGGUCCAGACUCCUACGGGAGGCAGCAGUGGGGAAUAUUGCACAAUGGGCGCAAGCCUGAUGCAGCCAUGCCGCGUGUAUGAAGAAGGCCUUCGGGUUGUAAAGUACUUUCAGCGGGGAGGAAGGGAGUAAAGUUAAUACCUUUGCUCAUUGACGUUACCCGCAGAAGAAGCACCGGCUAACUCCGUG